rnacentral:snRNA from 1 species
AUGCUCUUUGGCAGCACAUAUACUAAAAUUAGAAUGCUAGAGAUAAGAUUAGCCUGGCCUCUGUGCAAGGAUGACACAUAAAUUUGUGAAGCAUUCCAUAUUUUU